rnacentral:lncRNA from 1 species
GCCAGCUCUUGAAAAAAUUACACGAUCUCCCACUCAAGCGAACCAUCUCCCCGCUGUUUCGCAUCCACAUAUGGUUCCUUUUAGCGGGAGAUGGCGUAAUUUUUUUCCGGAGGCCCCAGAGAUAAA